rnacentral:lncRNA from 1 species
AAAGAACACAAAACACGGGUGAUCUUGGAAUAAAAGCACAAUAAUUGCUAAGAAAAUAUACAAUAAUAUGCAAGCAAAUAUGUGUAAAACUAUGCACAUUGGUUAUUAUUGCAGCACACUUGACUCCUGAGGAGAGGGAGAUGAUGCUAUCGUCUCUCAGGAAGUACCCUACGGACUUCGUAUACAAGAUUACAAACAUCCCUAGAAUCAACCCCAGUUUUUG